AUAAUAAAGUAACCAGACAUUGCCGGUCCAGCAGUGUAGACGGCAGGAGGGGGUCACCCUCAUAUAACCAGAACCGGGAAUUGCAGAUCCAGCAAUGCUGUAGGUAAGAGGGGGUCACCCUCAGUGUGGUAUCAUAGAGGUCUUUACACCCAGCAGUGUAGUCAGCGAGAGGGGGUCACCCUCAUUAUCGUAAUAACGGGACCCUGUAGGUCCAGCAGAGUAGUCCACAGGAGGGGGUCACCCUCAGUAUCUGCGUAUUGCAGGGCACUGUAAGAACAGAAGCUCAAUCAGUGGGAGGGGUACCCUCUUUUAUGGGAAUACCCGGACGCUGCAGGUCCAGCAGUGCAGACUGCAGGAGGGGUACCCCCUCGGUAUGAUAAUAGCAGGACAUUGUUGGAGCAUUAGUAUAGGAAGCAGGAGGGGGUCACCCUCAGCAUUAAUCUUACAGGACGCCGAAGAGCCAGCAGGGUACUCAUAGGUAGCCAUGUUGCCAGAGGGAGGGGGUCACCCAGCCCACAAUGGUGUCACACGUCCAUUAUUAUGGUCCAGUAGCGGGUAGAGCCCCAGAAAUAUGGAUGGGGGGUUCACCCCCCCAGUAAUAACAGGUCUGAAUGUGGGGCCAGUAGCCCCCUGAGGGGUAGGAGGGUCCAUAUAGCGAGAAGCUGACUCACAGACCACUCAGGUAUUAUAUUAGGAUACACUUUUGAAGUGUAUGUGUAGUGGAAAAUGUAAGUCCCUUGCAGGAAGGGCAACAAAUCCUAGGCAGGGGAGCUAGGUGCUGAAAAACAGGCCAUUUAAUUGUUAUGAGAAAAAGACUGAACCUUAGAGAAAGACUUGAUUAGCAUAUAACACAUGGCAUAGUCUUGUUAAACAAAGAUUUUUAUUUGAG